rnacentral:tRNA from 1 species
ACCUGGGUGGCUCAGUCGGUUAAGCAUCUGACUUCAGCUCAGGUCAUGAUCUCACGGUUCGUGGGUUCGAGCCCCGCGUCGGGCU